rnacentral:rRNA from 1 species
GACGAACGCUGGCGGCGUGCUUAACACAUGCAAGUCGAACGGAAAGGCCCUGCUUUUGUGGGGUGCUCGAGUGGCGAACGGGUGAGUAACACGUGAGUAACCUGCCCUUGACUUUGGGAUAACUUCAGGAAACUGGGGCUAAUACCGGAUAGGAGCUCCUGCUGCAUGGUGGGGGUUGGAAAGUUUCGGCGGUUGGGGAUGGACUCGCGGCUUAUCAGCUUGUUGGUGGGGUAGUGGCUUACAAAGGCUUUGACGGGUAGCCGGCCUGAGAGGGUGACCGGCGACAUUGGGACUGAGAUACGGCGCAGUAUCCUACGGGAGGCAGCAGUGGGGAAUAUUGCACAAUGGGCGGACGCCUGAUGCAGCAACGCAGCGUGCGGGAUGACGGCCUUCGGGUUGUAAACCGCUUUCGCCUGUGACGAAGCGUGAGUGACGGUAAUGGGUAAAGAAGCACCGGCUAACUACGUG